AGCAAUGACAACAAAUUAAUGACCCAAAGAUCAGGUCCUAUUUCUUGAUAUGUUGUUAUGGUUUCAUUCAGUGCUGCAGGACCAGGUAGCAGCUACAACAGCUGGAUUCAACCUCUAGAAAAUAUCCUGAAGGUAUUCCAGCUAUUGAUCAAAGAGGUUCAUAUUAGUGUUGAAACUAAUAUACUGCAACCUUGAGCACAGUGGGAGCUAUGAGAAUCAGGGGAGCCAUCAAGCAGGCUGAUUAGACUGCCCACUGAGCACAAGUGAUAUGAAAACAAGCAAGCCUUGGCCAGCACUAAAGACAGAAUGCAGCAGGAACUGCAGGCAUGUUAUACAAAGUGGGAUGCUGUUGGCACUUAUAAAAUAGCAAGAUGGUGCAAAAAUGGACCAAUCACCCCAAAAUGCAGCCUUGAGUGAUCAGUGCGUCUCAUGGGAAUGAUGGGACAGAGUUAGUGGAAUUGGAAACUAAAUCACAGCCUUUGCUGUGCACACAGUUAUGGAUACACAUGUUUAUAUAUAACCUGUCCACAUAUCUGUCAACAUUACUAUUCUGACUGCUGUGGCACCUUGGUAUGCUGGUGAUAUUUCAGUGAAAGAAAACAACUAUUUUUUUAAUUUUUAUUUUUUUAACUUCUGAAUGAAUUGUAAACACAAUAAACAGAUUUGGAAAAAAAUGAAAUAGUACAUACUCAAAGUACUGCAUACAAUUUUAGUAUCAAGGACUGCUAUAGGUCUUUAACUAGAGCUCCGUACAAUUUCUGAUAGAUUUCUAAAAGGAAUGCAUGGAUAUUUUUAUUUUGGAAAUGCAUAUAGACAUAUUUUUUUUUGCCUGUAAUGCUCCUGUCAAUGAUGGAAACAUUAUAGAUUUUGUAAACUUGAGAGAAAUCAGGUUGAAGGGCAGAUACUUCAGCUUGAUAUCCAAUAAGAAAUUAUGUAACUGUGUGUUCUUCUGAAAAGAGAUUUAAACUACGUCUUGCUGUACACCGCUAUUGUGGAUCAUUCAUUUUGUGGACAUGUUACCAAGGCUGAUACUCUUCAUAUUCACAAAAGAUGAAUACACUCUGCCCUCAGUGAAAGGCAGAGGUGGCUUUACAAGUGAGUCUUUCUACUAAGAAAGGCAUGGACAUGUUUGUACUGACUGCAGGAGGAAGAAGGAGAUGUUAGCAACUGAACCAAAGCAAAUCUACAAAUAUGGGACUCCAGAGGAUCUAAGAAACCCUUUGUUUUGUUUUGUUAAGGAACUGUUGCUAUAAGAAAUGACAGAAAAGCCUCUGGUUUGAAAACACUAUCUGCUUUCUCCAUCCAUUGCUCUGUCUCCACCCAUACUCAUGACAAAGCAAAUUUUAAGAUUUGUUUACUAAUUUCUCCUCAAUAUGGAACUAUUUGGAAUACCAUUGCAUAUAGUCUAGUGUUCAUCUCUUGUGUCACUUGAGGAACAUGGUCAUAUUGUCACCUUAUUUAUAUCUGACAGAAACCUUUUGCUCUCUUGAUUUUAAUGAUGAAAUCUUUUAAAAAUAUGAAAUUAAAAAGAAAAAUGAAGGUGCAUGAAAAAAAAUAUUCACAGCCUUUUAAAUCUUCUGCAUUGAACAAUAGAUUUCUGUUCCUCAGCGUUUCUCUUUGUUGCAUUCAACAAAAGGGCACCGGUGUUUAUAAUCAUUACAUGAUUUUCACAACUUUCAAAAAAGUACUUUAUGUUUGAUGUUAUCCCUAUGAUUUGUGUCAGCUCAUAUGUGAAAUCAAACAGUUAAAUUUUUGACAUAAAAUCCUAACUUUAAAGGGGAUGUCAUUCACCACCACUUGAAAUUUUGGCAUUUUGUACUCUAGACUUUGUGAAAUAAGGAAUGAUUACAACAGUAAAACUGACAGUCCCUUCAACUAUCAGAACUGAAUGUCAUGGGGGCAUUAACAGUAUAUCCAGCCAAAAGGAGCUUCAAUUUUAAUAUAAACAAGUAUACUUGAAAACUGAAGACCAACAGUAAAGAGAAUUUCACAGACUGCUUGGAAAAUCUGUCAUACUCUUUCUGGCCUAAAUCUGAUUCCAGGUAACCAGCCCCUUUAAUAAAUAGAAUUAAAGUAAAAUAAGCUGCUUAAAAUAAUUUAAUUCUGCUUGGCUAUAGUAUGGACCACAAUUCUUAGGGAGUUCCUCAUUAUAAAUACAAUUUUCCUAAGCUUUCAGACCUAAAACAGUGUUCAAAGCAAAUACGUUCCACAGUAAAUAAUAUGUCCUGGUAUGCAUUGCAAGUAUCAGUAAAACUCAUGUACAGAAUACAUGAUAUAGGUCUGCUAACAAAGACUCGAAAGUUCUCAAUACCUUCUUCCUAUUUUUCAACAUUACUAUGAUUCGAUGGUGUUUCUCAUAUGAAAUCAGUUAUUUUAUUUCAGUUCAAUAGUGUUUGCACAAAGU